GGAGAAGCCAGAUGUCAGUGCAGAGUAAAGAGUGGCCAGCCCGGGACCAGUCUCAUUGGCUGAAAGCGUUCAGCUGACACUCUCAGCUUAGCUCCAAAGUAACAUCUGGCUUCUCCUGCAGGAGGAGACUGGAUGCAGGGGCUGUGGUCAUGGAUUCCCAGCAGGAUCCAGGUAAGUCACCAAACCAUACAUGGUUUGACUACAUACUCUGGGAGCAGGCCAGGGUACUCCUAACACAUAAUCAAUGUUGUGGCCUUCCUUUAAAGGUAAGUUGUCAUAUAUUAAUAAAAAGAUUUUUACUGCUAAUCAUAGUAUCGCACCAGGGCUGUGGUGCUUGGAAUGUUUCUUCAAUGCUGAACCCCAUAACCCUAAACUUAACAUGGGCUGCUGUUUUAAUUUAGACAUAUUUUUUUUUUUGUUCCAGUCUGUCCCUGUUUGUUAAAGAUUUGUAACUUAGGUGUGGUGGAUUAG